AUUUACAGCUCAUUGCUUCUGCACUUUUGUGUGAACCCUAGCGAUGUCCAAGAAAGCAAUGUCCAGUGCCGUCCAAACCCUUUAUCCAGAAGUCCAUCUCUACCACUGCUCCUCUGCGAUGUGUCACAUUACCCAACAGGCAACACCUCUGUUCAGCUCCACUUCAGGUUCUGUGAGGGGGGUUUGUUAAUGCAGAGUGCUGCUUAAUGCAUCUUUGUCAGGACCUCCUGGAGGGGAUCUGCGGGGGGUAAAUCCAGGCCUCCAUACCCCAGGGGGCCAGUGGAGGACUGGAAACCACCAUGAGCUAUGAGCCGAUCUUCUUGUGGCUUUGACCGUCCCUAUCUUCAGUCCCAAGGAAAAAAAUUCUCAGGAUGAUGGUUAAUGGAGCACAUUUUGUCUUGGUGUUAAAGGAAUACUCCAGCGGUUUUCAACCAAAUCCUAAUCUACUGCAUCUGUAGCCUUUGAAUGAUGCCACAAGGAAUAGUUUCUACAGGGGCAGUUGCUGAAUUGUUGAAUAAAUAUUAAAAAACUAUUAUUAUAUAGCCUAAAUAAAUUCAAGAAACAUGUUGGAUUCCAACAAUAAAGGUUUUAAGAUGAAAAAGAUAGACAAGUCUUUCCACAGAUAUUCUUACAGAUUUCUUUCCCACUUUCCAAUACAAUAAAAAGACAUUUCAGUUCCUUAGGGUUUUUUCCCCCAAAGGUUUUAUUUAUGUUGGUCAUGUUGGAUCCAUAUCAUCAUCAAUGAAUUCUCAAUACAGAAGCCGUUGAUUAAUAUUCAACAGACGUUGAUUAAUA
ensembl:lncRNA